rnacentral:other from 3 species
UAAUUCCUGGGGUGAACGACAAUCUUAUCAAUUUUGAUCCUACAUAUUGAUUAAUGGGAUUCCAAAGAACUACAAUGGAUGUCAGGCCUCAAUGGUUUAGUGGAAGGCAGAUAUUGUGGUGAGGUAACCCACCUAGCACAGCUAGGCGUCAAUACAUAAGACCGUCAUUCUGGGGUUAUU